CGGGAAUAUUGCGCAAUGGAGGAAACUCUGACGCAGCGACGCCGCGUGCAGGAAGAAGGUUUUCGGAUUGUAAACUGAUUUAGACAGGGAAGAAACAAGACAGUACCUGUAGAAUAAGCUCCGGCUAACUACGUGCCAGCAGCCGCGGUAAUACGUAGGGAGCAAGCGUUAUCCGGAUUUAUUGGGUGUAAAGGGUGCGUAGACGGGAAAUUAAGUUAGUUGUGAAAUCCCUCGGCUUAACUGAGGAACUGCAACUAAAACUGGUUUUCUUGAGUGCUGGAGAGGAAAGUGGAAUUCCUAGUGUAGCGGUGAAAUGCGUAGAUAUUAGGAGGAACACCAGUGGCGAAGGCGACUUUCUGGACAGUAACUGACGUUGAGGCACGAAAGUGUGGGGAGCAAAC
rnacentral:rRNA from 1 species